rnacentral:rRNA from 1 species
UACGUAGGGGGCAAGCGUUGUCCGGAAUCAUUGGGCGUAAAGAGCGUGUAGGCGGCCCGGUAAGUCCGCUGUAAAAGUCAAAGGCUCAACCUUUGAAUGUCAGUGGAUACUGCCGGGCUAGAGUCCGGAAAAGGCGAGUGGAACUCCUGGUGUAGCGGUGGAAUGCGCAGAUAUCAGGAAGAACACCAACGGCGAAGGCAGCUCGCUGGGACGGUACUGACGCUGAGACGCGAAAGCGUGGGGAGCGAACAGG